rnacentral:rRNA from 1 species
AGAGCGAACGCUGGCGGCGUGCUUAACACAUGCAAGUCGAACGCGCAGCAUUCUGUAGCAAUACAGGGUGUGGGCGCGUGGCGAACGGGUGCGUAACACGUGGAUAACCUUCCUUCAGGUGGGGAAUAACCCAGUGAAAAUUGGGCUAAUACCGCAUAACAAAACGAUGAGACAUCUUGUUGUUUUCAAAGGCGCAAGUCGCCAGAAGAGGGAUCCGCGGCCGAUUAGCUUGUUGGCGAGGUAAUGGCUCACCAAGGCAAUGAUCGGUAGCCGGACUGAGAGGUUGGCCGGCCACACUGGAACUGAGACACGGUCCAGACUCCUACGGGAGGCAGCAGUGGGGAAUCUUGCACAAUGGGCGAAAGCCUGAUGCAGCAACGCCGCGUGGGGGAUGAAGCUUCUCGGAGUGUAAACCCUUUCGACCCGGAAGAAGCCCGCAAGGGUUGACGGUACGGGUAUAAGAAGCCCGGCUAACUACGUGCCAGCAGCCGCGGUAA